rfam:Streptomyces violaceusniger Tu 4113, complete genome.
CUUGAGCGCGCCCAGCCACAGCGGGCGGCCCUCCGGCCGCUCUUGGCCGUAGGUGGCCAGCAGCGCCUGCGCCUC